CAUAAAAUCCGCUCACACUGUCUGGUAGAUUCCACGGCCAUGGCUUAGAACUUCAGAGAACCCCAAAUCGAAAACCUGCGUUUCCGUGUAAACGUGUUGGAGAACACUCUGUGAAUCCGAUUCUGUUGUUCUCCUAUAUGAGGUGAGGCAGACAAGUUUGAUGAUGGCAGACCUACCAGGUUAUAUGCGAUCGUGCUUGCAUACUAGAAAACUUGCUUUCUUGGCAAUUUUGGUCUCUGGAGGGAUUGUAUUGCAAAUUUUGUUCAGUGGCAUGCGCUUUGUACGACAAUUGGAGGGCCGAUGCUAACGGGUUAGUGACUGAAGUUUUUGGUCUUGAAUUUUAGCAUUAGAUUAGUUACCAAGGGAUUCAGUGUACUGGUGGUGCUUAAUAAAUUUGAGCUUUCAAAAAUAUGGGUAUUGUGUGUGUGUGUGUGUGUGAGCCGUGA